CAAACCAUCUACUCAUUCCAGAGAUGAUCUCAUGUCUAAAUUACAAUACAGGAUAUUUACACACAAGUAUCAAAAGAAUGCAGUCUGGAGCAUAGUGUAAAUAAGGAAGAAAUUGCCUUGUCAAAGGUGGAAGAACUUCCUUGAUAAGGAUAUCACAGACCUUGCUAGCAGGGGAUGAAGAACCAUCUACAGAGGACAAGAAACAAGCAAAUCCUUUUACUUAAAAAAAGAGGCAAAGCUCUCCUCCAGCACAUUGUCACAUUCAUGAGUGGACAAGUGCCAGGGACCAUCAGACUGCCUUGCCGGAAACAUGGAAGGAGAGUUAUAACAGAAGACAUUUUCAUUACAUUAAGCUCUGUUACUCAAAAGAAGAAAAAUUACUGCACUAGAAAUGGUCUGAGGUGCUUCAUCUUUAGCCAUUGCCUGCCAUCUUCUCCUUAA
rnacentral:lncRNA from 1 species